AUUGAACGCUGGCGGCAGGCCUAACACAUGCAAGUCGAACGCGUGGCGGACGGGUGAGUAAUGUCUGGGAAACUGCCCGAUGGAGGGGGAUAACUACUGGAAACGGUAGCUCAUAUCGCAUACCAUCGGAUGUGCCCAUAUGGGGUUAGCUAGUAGGUGGGGUAAAGGCUCACCUGGGCGACGCUCCCUCGCUGGUCUGAGAGGAUGACCAGCCACACUGGAACUGAGACACGGGCCAGACUCCGACGGGAGGCAGCAGUGGGGAAUAUUGCACAAUGGGCGCAAGCCUGAUGCAGCCAUGCCGCGUGUAUGAAGAAGGCCUUCGGGUUGUAAAGUACUUUCAGCGAGGAGGCGUUACUCGCAGAAGAAGCACCGGCUAACUCCGUGCCAGCAGCCGCGGUAAUUC
rnacentral:rRNA from 1 species